rnacentral:rRNA from 1 species
UACGUAGGGUGCGAGCGUUAAUCGGAAUUACUGGGCGUAAAGCGUGCGCAGGCGGUUCGUUAAGUUCGUUGUGAAAGCCCCGGGCUCAACCUGGGAAUGGCAAUGGAAACUGGCGAGCUUGAGUGUGGCAGAGGGGGGUGGAAUUCCGCGUGUAGCGGUGAAAUGCGUAGAUACUGGGAGGAACACCGGUGGCGAAGGCGGCUACCUGGACCGGUUCUGACGCUGAGGCGCGAAAGCGUGGGUAGCAAACAGG